AGAAUAGCGCUUGGGGCAAUGACGCAGCUAGUGAGGUUCUAACCGAGGCGCGUCUAUUGCUUGUUGAAAACUAUUUCCAAAACCCCGGGUCUUAGGCCUUCGAGAAUUUCUGGAAGCGCUCCCUGCU
rnacentral:snRNA from 1 species